UCCUCCAAUUGUUUAUGUGUUAUAAAGCAAGCUGGGAGAGAUGCCUCCCAUGUUAAUGGAUUGGUGUGGACAGGCAGUGGCACUGGAGUAAACCAUGGCAGCAUGAAUACCUGGGAUGAUACAAUACCAGCAAGUGCCCAUGUACAGAGUGAUCUGAGGAACUUCUGUUGUGCAGUCAAUCUGUUCUGUGUUUCUUCUGCGUAACUGCCCCCAGUUUAUAUAGUGGGCAUGAUGUGCUGUGGUAUGGAAUACCUCUCUGGCUAGUUUGGGUCAGGUGUCCUGUCUCUGCUUCCUUCCAGCUUCCCCUCCUCCCUGGCAAGGCAUGAGACUGAGAAAGUCCUUGGUCAGAGUAAGCAUUACUGAGCAGCAACUAAAAACAUUGGUGUUAUCAGUGCUGUUCCCAGGCUGAAUGUCAAAACCACAGCACUGCACCAGCUACUAAGAAGGAGAAAAAUGACUGCUACUGCUGAACCCAGGACAGUUGAUUCACAUUUGUAAAUGAAAACCUAAUCCCUGCCUUAAAGGAUUUGCAGCCUAAAUCCUACUGAAAUGCAUGGGAGUCACU
rnacentral:lncRNA from 14 species